GAUGAACGCUGGCGGCGUGCCUAAUACAUGCAAGUCGAGCGAACAGACGAGGAACUUGCUCCUCUGACGUUAGCGGCGGACGGGUGAGUAACACGUGGAUAACCUACCUAUAAGACUGGGAUAACUUCGGGAAACCGGAGCUAAUACCGGAUAAUAUAUUGAACCGCAUGGUUCAAUAGUGAAAGACGGUUUUGCUGUCACUUAUAGAUGGAUCCGCGCCGCAUUAGCUAGUUGGUAAGGUAACGGCUUACCAAGGCAACGAUGCGUAGCCGACCUGAGAGGGUGAUCGGCCACACUGGAACUGAGACACGGUCCAGACUCCUACGGGAGGCAGCAGUAGGGAAUCUUCCGCAAUGGGGGAAAGCCUGACGGAGCAACGCCGCGUGAGUGAUGAAGGUCUUCGGAUCGUAAAACUCUGUUAUUAGGGAAGAACAAAUGUGUAAGUAACUAUGCACGUCUUGACGGUACCUAAUCAGAAAGCCACGGCUAACUACGUG
rnacentral:rRNA from 1 species